rnacentral:lncRNA from 1 species
CUCAGCCCGUCCGUUCCCCCGCUCACCCUUCAGCCACCGCCGCGCUCCUGACCCUGCGUCCCCAGCGGCCUCCCAGCCCAGAGCCCGUUCUGAUCUCACCUCACCUGCGCACCGUCCCUCCUUCCUGUCUCUCUCUGCCUCGCGUCCCCGAAAUCCUUCGCCCCCGUGCGGCUCAGUCCCCGUGAACUUCCGUGGGGCGCCGUGAGCUCUGUUCCUGCCGAGAGCCUGGUUUCCACGGCUUUCCGUUAUUAGGGUCUGGGCCCCUCGGGCGCCCCUGGGAGCUCAGCCGUGGUUGCUUUAGGAAUCGAGAGCGCCUCCCGGCCCCACCUGAGACCCCACACUGCCGUGCCGCCCUGCCACCUCCGGCCGCCUGGACACCCCCAGGGCUCCUCCCAGCUACCUCGCCAGCCAGUCAGGAGGCUCUGGGAGCCAUGGCUCCUUCUGCCCCAUCUGUCCCUCCGAAGUGUGGUUCUGGGGACACCUGGAGGCCCCGCGAAUCUCCCAUGUGGGCAACAUCACGCUGCUCCUAGCCGACCUGAAACAGGAUCCCUGCUGAGGCCUCGAACCUGAGUCACACACGGCUCUUUCAGGAGCCCCAAGGGCCACACUGAAAAGCAGAGGCGCUGGCACCGCCCGCUGGGUCCCCCUUUAUUUUGUGGUGGGAGAGAGGCGGAGGGAGGGGGGAUGAUAGCUUCCAUAGCAGGACACGUGUGAGGCAGCUCCUGCCUGCUGCUCCUCGUUCCCUGGCUCCGUCCUGACAACGGCAGGGCUGGGAUGGAGAGGACUCAAGAAGGAUGUGCAUGCAGAGCUCUGAGAAGGGUCCUGCUGAUGGGCCAUGUGCCGAGGGCCUAGGGCAUUCCACCCUGGGGCAUGCUGGGAGUUCGGGCCCCCUGGGGUAAGUCUUCACAGGCUUUAUGGCCCUGUCAUCCAGGAGGGUGCUUCCUCUCCACACACCAUCUGAAAUCUGCAGCCUUUGACAGAGCAGGGGAGCCUGCCACGUGGAGAGUGCUUGGCAGUCUGCUGAUUCAAACGGAUGUUGACUUGAAAGAUAUCUUCACCAUGACAUCUGCACUAGUGUUGGACCACACAGCUGGUCACCAGUGGCCCAGCCAAGUCAAUGCAUAAACGUCACCAUCUAAUCAGUCACCAUUAAAUCAAGUGCACCGCCUGCAGGACUGCCGAGCCGAGCCAUGGGCAGAGUGCAGUGAGCAGGGGGAGCUUGGGGAAGAGAGGUGAUGCCAGAGGAGAGGGAGACGGGAGCAGGGGGAGGGAGGAGGGGGUCCGUCAGUGUGUACUAGAGAAACAGACAUGCACAAGGUGGACAAAUACAUAUUUUACCAGACUGGCUUACCAUGGCCGCCCAGAGUCGGAUGGGGAAGAGGGCAGAGGGGCUGUCUGUGCACCUAAGGAUUCAGUGGAAGGUGUGGAGCUCCUUGCAGGGAGGGUCCUGUGCGAGUCCAUAUCAGGUGGCCCGUGGGUCUGUGGUGGAGGCUGAGGAGUCUAUGCCGGAAGCUGAAGGAGCUGCACCGGAAGCCGAAGUCUGCGCUGGAAGCCAGGAGAUGACGUCCAAGGUGAAGGCAAAGACUGCAGCGCCUCUGAAGACCAGAAACAGCCGAAGUAAACAUCUCUUCUCUGUGAACUCUCAGCCUCAGACAGAGACUGCAGGUCAGGUUCCUCAGGGAACGCAGGGCUCCCAGCUGCAGGAUGGAGUCCAGCCCCCCCCCCCCCCCAAGGCCUGGCGGCCUCCUGACUUCCCUGCUGCCUUCUCUGGGCCGCCUCGGGUGGGGUGGG